rnacentral:lncRNA from 1 species
AUGUUGAGUCAAGCUUGUUUGUUCUCCACAGGUACAAAUGGCACAAUUAAAAGGAGUGCCUGUUUAAACAAGUAUACCACACCCUCCAUAUCAAGGGUAAAGCCCGGCUCCAUUGGGGUUAAUCCUUCUAAUGUUUCAGUGAUAAUGCUCUUUGUUACAAGCUUUAGAGAUUCAGAUGCAAUUUUGAGUAACUUGAAGAAAAGCAUGAAGUUUUUUUUUAUAUUUUGUGAUAUUUGUAAUGAGCUCCUAGAAGAUGCUGCAUGCCAAAGACCUCUUCAGCAAGUUCCCUUGGGAUAAUAUUCCAAUGUGUCCUUGUAUGUAUAGUUAACAUAUUCAAAAUAUAUGAGAUAUGUAUUUCAAAAUAUACCUGACUCCUAUUUCUACAAUAUCUGAUACAAAAUCUUUGAUGACCUUCUCUACUCCCAAAAAAUAUCAUAUAGCUUUUUGCUGUAAAUGAGUUACUUUCAGCUUCUCUGUGCAAAGUAAUUAAAUUAUUAUCAGCUCUGCAAUGAGUCCCUCUCUCCCUACUGCUUUCCUUUUAAUGAAUUGUUUUGAUUUAUAUUACUGUUCCUUAAUGUGGCUUUCAAAUUUAUGGCAUGGAUGUAAGCUCUCAAACUAACAAGUCCUGUUUGUUUCUUUACCUCCUCUGGUAAUGGACCCUUCCUAUAGAGAUUACCUAGGGGGACAGGGACUUCCCAAAAGUGACCAGAACACUUUUAUAGCAAGGUCUCUAGCCCUAUCUUGUCUCUGUAGUUGGUGAUGUUUAAUUUCAGAAUGGAUGGGUUCUUUCUUGUUAUUUGGUUGGUGAGAAGAGAAUGUCUUGUACUAGUCUAAUCAAGAAAGAUUAUUAUAUAACAUCUGUCAGAUUGACUUGUACCAUAUGGGCCCUGGGCCAUCUUCUGUAAGAGAACUUACAGAGACAUCUCAAAAUGUCUGUGAAAAUAGAACAUAUUUUUAGAAUUGUAGAAUACCUCCUACACUGCCAAAUGAACCUGUCAAAAGCGCAUCUUGAUUUCUUCAGCUCCUACAACUCUUGCUUGUUUGCAGUAAUGGUAUUUAUUGACCAAAAGUGGGUGGAAGGGGUUUUAUGUAUCUGCUUUUGCAGAUGUGAAAUUAACAGAAUGGAAGGAUUUUUAGGGGCUUUUGUUCUUUUGAGGUUUUUUGGGGGGAGGGGGAGUGUGGGGGAGGUUUUCUAAAAGUUCUGAAGCGAUCUCUAUUUUAGUUUUACAUGUGAGGAGGAAAGCUAAAAGAGACCGAGUAAUGAGAAGAAAAGAGGAAAACAAAAAGCAACAAAAUAAAUGAAUUUACACAAUCCA